CCAAUCUUGUUUUUCUUUUGUUCUUUUAUCUUCCUUUCAAUCUCUCUUCUCUACGUAUGUUUCUUUCUUUUUCUCAGAUUUAAUCACUCUCUUUAUUUCUCUUUCUCCCGGAUUUAAUCAAUAUGUGUCUUCUUUCUUCAACAUUUAAUCUCUAUCUUCAAUGCUACCAUAAUGAUUACCAAUUCUUUGUACGCAAUACUCAAAAACAAACAAGCGAUAUACUUCCCAUUUGCUCUCUCACACGUCGACAUCUGCUUACCUUUUCAGAUUGAAUUCCUGAAACUCCAUCAUCACAAAUCCUGUGCUCACCGCAUCGUUCUCACCACGCCAAAACUCCAUUGUCACAGUUGCUUGAGAUUUUGUGUGAGAGAAGAGCCGAUUUAGGAAGUGGAAGAAGAGGAGGAGCGAGUGGAAGAGAGAAGCGGUUCGGAAGCAGUGGUGCUCACCGUCAACUCGAAGCAAAGAAGAGGCCGAGAAGAUGAAGACCAAUUUUUUUUAGGUUUAGUUCUUUUUGGUUUAUUUAAAAACAAAAUUAAUUUGGUUUAGGUUUUUUUUGCUGGAUUUGCCAAAUAUGACUCACUACAUUAUUUUAAAUGCAAACAUGUACCCAAACUUGAAUCAAAUGCAAAACUAACCUAAAAUACUUGUGAAAUUACAGCCAGUCUCUUGUGACCAAACAAAAAAAAACCAUUUUUACGAAUAUAACUC
rnacentral:lncRNA from 1 species